rnacentral:rRNA from 1 species
AGCGGAGCGUGUGGUUUAAUUCGUUGCUACACGAAGAACCUUACCUGGGUUUGACAUAUAGGUUGUAGGGAACUGAAAGGGACCGACCCUUCGGGGAGCCUAUACAGGUGUUGCAUGGCUGUCGUCAGCUCGUGUCGUGAGAUGUUCGGUUAAGUCCGCUAACGAGCGCAACCCUCGUCGUAUGUUAUAUGUGUCAUACGAGACUGCCGGUAAAAGCCGGAGGAAGGUGAGGAUGAUGUCAAGUCAGCAUGACCUUUAUAUCCAGGGCUACACACACGCUACAAUGGUCUGUACAAUGGGUAGCCAAGCCGCGAGGCGGAGCCAAUCCUGAAAGCAGGACCUCAGUUCAGAUUGCAGUCUGCAACUCGACUGCAUGAAGCCGGAGUUGCUAGUAACCGCAGGUCAGCAAUACUGCGGUGAAUACGUUCCCGGGUCUU